AGCACAAGUGAUGAACAACAAAGGGACUUAAUACUGAAACCCGAUGUUAUAUUGCAAUGUGCUGAUGUGC